GACAGAGGAUGCAAGCGUUAUCCGGAAUGAUUGGGCGUAAAGCGUCUGUAGGUGGCUUUUUAAGUCCGCCGUCAAAUCCCAGGGCUCAACCCUGGACAGGCGGUGGAAACUACCAAGCUGGAGUACGGUAGGGGCAGAGGGAAUUUCCGGUGGAGCGGUGAAAUGCGUAGAGAUCGGAAAAGAACACCAACGGCGAAAAGCACUCUGCUGGGGCCGACACUGACAUGAGAGACGAAAAGCUAGGGGG
rnacentral:rRNA from 1 species